UGGGGAAUAUUGGGCAAUGGGCGAGAGCCUGACCCAGCGACGCCGCGUGAGGGAUGACAGCCUUCGGGUUGUAAACCUCUGUUGUAUGGGAAGAAGGAAGUGACGGUACCAUACGAGGAAGCUCCGGCUAACUACGUGCCAGCAGCCGCGGUAAUACGUAGGGAGCGAGCGUUGUCCGGAAUUACUGGGCGUAAAGGGCACGCAGGCGGUCAUAUAAGUCAGCUGUUAAAUGUAUGGGCUUAACCGAUGCAUGCGGUUGAAACUGUAUGACUGGAGUACUGGAGAGGUAAGCGGAAUUCCCGGUGUAGCGGUGAAAUGCGUAGAUAUCGGGAAGAACACCAGUGGCGAAGGCGGCUUACUGGCCAGUUACUGACGCUGAGGUGCGAAAGCCAGGGGAGCGAACCGGAUUAGAUACCCGGGUAGUCCUGGCCGUAAACGAUGAAUGCUAGGUGUGGGUAUAGCGAUAUAUCCGUGCCGGAGUUAA
rnacentral:rRNA from 1 species